CAGCAGCCACGGUAAUACGUAGGGCGCAAGCGUUAAUCGGAAUUACUGGGCGUAAAGCGUGCGCAGGCGGUUAUAUAAGUCAGAUGUGAAAUCCCCGGGCUCAACCUGGGAACUGCAUUUGAGACUGUAUGGCUAGAGUGUGUCAGAGGGGGGUAGAAUUCCACGUGUAGCAGUGAAAUGCGUAGAUAUGUGGAGGAAUACCGAUGGCGAAGGCAGCCCCCUGGGAUAACACUGACGCUCAUGCACGAAAGCGUGGGGAGCAAACAGGAUUAGAUACCCGUGUAGUCCCUGUCUCUUAUAC
rnacentral:rRNA from 1 species